rnacentral:lncRNA from 1 species
AUUUGCUCUAAAUGCUUUGGUUUUUGAGUUAUAAGCCAAAAACUGCAUUUUACCCCUAUGUUCUAUUUUUAGCCAUGGCGGCCAUCUUGGAUGGUUGGCCGGGUCACCGGACACAUUUUUAAAACUAGAUACCCCAAUGAUGAUUUUGGCCAAGUUUGGUGUAAUUUGGCCCAGUAGUUUCAGAGGAGAAGAUUUUUGUAAAAGUUAACGACGCCGGACGACGACGGACGACAGACGACGGACGACAGACGACGGACGACGGACGACGGACGCCAAGUGAUGGGAAAAGCUCACUUGGCCCUUUGGGCCAGGUGAGCUAAAAAUGUCGAAA